GGAUAUGACUGAUCAUCGCAUGGUGGUUGGUGGAAAGCUUUAUUGUGGUUUUGGGAUGGACUCGCGGCCCUAUCAGCUUGUUGGUGAGGUAAUGGCUUACCCAAGGCGACGACGGGUAGCCGGCCUGAGAGGGUGACCGGCCACACUGGGACUGAGACACGGUCCAGACUCCUACGGGAGGCAGCAGUGGGGAAUAUUGCACAAUGGGCGCAAGCCUGAUGCAGCGACGCCGCGUGAGGGAUGACGGCCUUCGGGUUGUAAACCUCUUUCAGUAGGGAAGAAGCGAAAGUGACGGUACCUGCAGAAGAAGCGCCGGCUAACUACGUGCCAGCAGCCGCGGUAAUACGUAGGGCGCAAGCGUUAUCCGGAAUUAUUGGGCGUAAAGAGCUCGUAGGCGGUUUGUCGCGUCUGCCGUGAAAGUCCGGGGCUCAACUCCGGAUCUGCGGUGGGUACGGGCAGACUAGAGUGAUGUAGGGGAGACUGGAAUUCCUGGUGUAGCGGUGAAAUGCGCAGAUAUCAGGAGGAACACCGAUGGCGAAGGCAGGUCUCUGGGCAUUAACUGACGCUGAGGAGCGAAAGCAUGGGGAGCGAACAGGAUUAGAUACCCUGGUAGUCCAUGCCGUAAACGUUGGGCACUAGGUGUGGGGGACAUUCCACGUUUUCCGCGCCGUAGCUAACGCAUUAAGUGCCCCGCCUGGGGAGUACGGCCGCAAGGCUAAAAUUC
rnacentral:rRNA from 1 species